rnacentral:misc_RNA from 1 species
UACGGAGGGUGCAAGCGUUAAUCGGAAUUACUGGGCGUAAAGCGCGCGUAGGUGGCUUGAUAAGCCAGUUGUGAAAGCCCAGGGCUCAACCUGGGAACGGCAUCCGGAACUGUCAAGCUAGAGUGCAGGAGAGGAAGGUAGCAUUCCCGGUGUAGCGGUGAAAUGCGUAGAGAUCGGGAGGAAUACCAGUGGCGAAGGAGACCUGCUGGACUGACACUGACACUGAGGUGCGAAAGCGUGGGUAGCAAACAGG